GACGAACGCUGGCGGCGUGCUUAACACAUGCAAGUCGAACGGUGAAGCGCCUUCCUUUUUGGUGGGUGUGGAUGAGUGGCGAACGGGUGAGUAACACGUGAGUAACCUGCCCCCUUCUUCUGGAUAACCGCAUGAAAGUGUGGCUAAUACGGGAUAUUCUGGGUCUGUCGCAUGAUGGGUCUGGGAAAGAUAUUGUUCGGUGGGGGAUGGGCUCGCGGCCUAUCAGCUUGUUGGUGGGGUGAUGGCCUACCAAGGCGGUGACGGGUAGCCGGCCUGAGAGGGUGGACGGUCACACUGGGACUGAGACACGGCCCAGACUCCUACGGGAGGCAGCAGUGGGGAAUAUUGCACAAUGGGCGCAAGCCUGAUGCAGCGACGCCGCGUGAGGGAUGGAGGCCUUCGGGUUGUGAACCUCUUUCGCCAGUGAAGCAGGCCUGCCUCGUUUGUGGGUGGGUUGACGGUAGCUGGAUAAGAAGCGCCGGCUAACUACGUG
rnacentral:rRNA from 1 species